rnacentral:rRNA from 1 species
UACAGAGGUCUCAAGCGUUGUUCGGAUUCAUUGGGCGUAAAGGGUGCGUAGGCGGCGCGGUAAGUCGGGUGUGAAAUCUCGGAGCUUAACUCCGAAACUGCAUUCGAUACUGCCGUGCUUGAGGACUGGAGAGGAGACUGGAAUUUACGGUGUAGCGGUGAAAUGCGUAGAUAUCGUAAGGAAGACCAGUGGCGAAGGCGGGUCUCUGGACGGUUUCUGACACUAAGACUCGAAAGCGUGGGGAGCAAACAGG